AAACUGGAUAGCUGUGUGUGUGAGCAGUCAUCUUUUCAGCCUACAUGUGGAUUGCCAAAUCUGCAGGCUGGUUAGAUGGUUGUCAUACAUCCACCUGACACCAGC